UGGCUAUAAAAUAACUUAUUUUAUAGCCACUUUGAGUUACGAUAAUUACUAUAUUAAUUUACAAGAUUAUAGUAACUCCUUACUAAGUGGUUUACUAUAACAUUACGGUAAAUAUCCCAUGUAUUAUAGUAACCCAACUAUCGUAAAUAUAUAUAUACAUAUUAUCGUAAAUUAAUAUAUAAAAUUAUCGUAAAUGGAGGUGGCUACAGACUAACAAAUUUUGUAGCUA
rnacentral:pre_miRNA from 1 species